CUUCUUUUGAACAGGCGCCCAAAAUUGCACAGCAUAUUCAAGGUGUGGUCUUACCAGCGAUUUAUAAAGAGGCAAAAUUAUAUUUUCAUCCCGAGAAUUUAUGCCCCUAUUUAUACAUGACAAAAUCUUACUGGCCUUAGCAACUGCAGAUUGACAUUGCUGCCUAAUUUGUUGUCUAUAACAAUUCCCAAAUCCUUCUCGUGUGUGGUUGCCAUUCUUUAACAAUUUAAAGAGUUCCCUGUUCCCAAAUUGAUUUGCUGAGCAGAGAAAAUGUUGUGUGAGCCCUUGCGGUCUCACACAGUGAUUAUGGAGAGCUUGUAGAAAUCAAGCUAUAGCCCCUGCAGAUAUAUAAUGCAGCCUAUGAUCGCGAAACUGGAUUGUUCAAAGGUGCAUUUCUCAGCUCAGUGGUCCUUCUCUUAAAACCAUGCAGUAUCCUUUUAUGUUCCCUCUGGUC